rnacentral:lncRNA from 1 species
AUCACGAUUUUCACCCCUUCCAUGUCAAGCCUUCGUAGUUCUUUAGUACUUGAUCCUUCUUCAUAUCUAGACCACCCUUUCAAGUUUUCGUCCUAAACAUAUCUCUUGAAUUCAAGCUGUCUUUUUAGGUUUUCACCUUGAAUUCCUUAUUCUCUUUUUCACUUUUUUUUUGUGUUUUUUUUUUUCUUUUCAGGCAUAGUAUUUCUU